AGUUAUCUGAACCUUCGGGGAACGAUAACGGCGUCGAGCGGCGGACGGGUGAGUAAUGCCUAGGAAAUUGCCUUGAUGUGGGGGAUAACCAUUGGAAACGAUGGCUAAUACCGCAUAAUGCCUACGGGCCAAAGAGGGGGACCUUCGGGCCUCUCGCGUCAAGAUAUGCCUAGGUGGGAUUAGCUAGUUGGUGAGGUAAUGGCUCACCAAGGCGACGAUCCCUAGCUGGUCUGAGAGGAUGAUCAGCCACACUGGAACUGAGACACGGUCCAGACUCCUACGGGAGGCAGCAGUGGGGAAUAUUGCACAAUGGGCGAAAGCCUGAUGCAGCCAUGCCGCGUGUAUGAAGAAGGCCUUCGGGUUGUAAAGUACUUUCAGUUGUGAGGAAGGGGGUGUCGUUAAUAGCGGCAUUUCUUGACGUUAGCAACAGAAGAAGCACCGGCUAACUCCGUGCCAGCAGCCGCGGUAAUACGGAGGGUGCGAGCGUUAAUCGGAAUUACUGGGCGUAAAGCGCAUGCAGGUGGUUCAUUAAGUCAGAUGUGAAAGCCCGGGGCUCAACCUCGGAACUGCAUUUGAAACUGGUGAACUAGAGUACUGUAGAGGGGGGUAGAAUUUCAGGUGUAGCGGUGAAAUGCGUAGAGAUCUGAAGGAAUACCAGUGGCGAAGGCGGCCCCCUGGACAGAUACUGACACUCAGAUGCGAAAGCGUGGGAGCAAACAGGAUUAGAUACCCUGGUAGUCCACGCCGUAAACGAUGUCUAC
rnacentral:rRNA from 1 species